GACGAACGCUGGCGGCGUGCUUAACACAUGCAAGUCGAACGGAAAGGCCUGCUUUCCCUUGUGGAUUGCGGGUACUCGAGUGGCGAACGGGUGAGUAACACGUGAGUGAUCUGCCCCCAACUUGGGUAUAAGCCUGGGAAACUGGGUCUAAUUCCCGAUCGGACUGCAGGGUGGUGCCUGUGGUGGAAAACGAUUUUCUAGUGGUUGGGGAUGAGCUCGCGGCCUAUCAGCUUGGUGGUGGGGUAAUGGCCUACCAAGGCGGCGACGGGUAGCCGGCCUGAGAGCGUGGACGGCCACAUUGGGACUGAGAUACGGCCCAGACUCAUACGGGAGGCAGCAGUGGGGAAUAUUGCACAAUGGUCGGAAGCCUGAUGCAGCGACGCCGCGUGGGGGAUGACGGCCUGCGGGUUGUAAACUCCUUUCGACCGCGAGGAAGCCACCUGGUUGGAAGGGUGGUGACGGUAGUGGUAGAAGAAGCACCGGCUAACUACGUG
rnacentral:rRNA from 1 species